rnacentral:sRNA from 1 species
AUCUCUUAAAAAGAUGCAACCUCAGCGGCACUUCCUCGUAGCGGAGCCUAGUGGCGGGUGUUCGCGUUGAAACGUGCGCGCGACCCGACCUUAAAGGGGGGGAGCAAAGGGAGGACAGAGCCCUUUAAAACGAGGCGGGUGGUGCCUGCCCCUUUAAGGGCGGGGCGCCCGGACGACUGUAUCUGAACCCCAGACUGCCCCGAGUUUCUGUCGCAGGCUGCGAGGAAAGGCUCCUAGGCUGGGUCCGGGUGCUUGGCGGCGGCGGCUUCCUCCCCGCUCGUCCUCCCCGGGCCCAGAGGCACCCCGGCUCCAGUCAUGCUGAGCAGAGUAUGGAAGCACCUGACUACGAAGUGCUAUCCGUGCGAGAACAGCUAUUCCACGAGAGGAUCCGCGAGUGUAUUGCUGGGUUCCCAGCCUCUCAGCCAUUCCGGGGUUUCCUUAGUGAGUGGUCCUCCCAGGGCUUCAGAGGGUACCUGGCUGCUGUUCCUUACGCCCUCCCUGCCACUUAGAGCCACAGCUGAACCUUGCGCACAGAAGUGGACUACUCAAUUCUGGGAUAUCAACACUUCUGUUUGCAACACUGUAUAUCCUCUGCCACAUCUUCCUGACCCGCUUCAAGAAGCCUGCUGAGUUCACCACAGUUUCAUCCUACAAAAUGGGCAUAACAAUGUCUACCUACUCCAUUGUGUGGACCAAAGGAGAUGGUUAAUGUGAAAGCCCUUUGUGAACCUGAAGUGGGCAACUGCUGGAUGAACGUCAUUACGGGCACAGGCUCUGUGUCAUCUCCUCUCCUAGUGCUCCCACAGCCAGGACCAGAGACCUCCCUGAUGACUGGGGAACCUGGUGAUGGUGGCCUUUCUCAUUAUGGGGAGCCUGAGUAUGCUCAGAUUGCAGCUUUCCUUCCCUAGACAUUGUGUAAUUGGGGGUGGGGGCACACUUGCCCCAGUUCCUAGCUCCAGCCUUUC